GUGCUCGCUUUGGCAGCACGUGUGCUAAAAUUUGAAUGAUACAGAGAAAAUUAGCAUGGCCAAUAAAUAAAAGAAGAAAUAGACAAGGAAGAUGGGGGUGGGAGUGCU
ensembl:snRNA U6 U6 spliceosomal RNA